rnacentral:rRNA from 1 species
UACGUAGGGUGCAAGCGUUGUCCGGAAUUAUUGGGCGUAAAGAGCUCGUAGGCGGCUUGUCGCGUCGGCUGUGAAAACCUGGGGCUCAACCCCGGGCCUGCAGCCGAUACGGGCAAGCUAGAAUUCGGUAGGGGAGACUGGAAUUCCUGGUGUAGCGGUGAAAUGCGCAGAUAUCAGGAGGAACACCGGUGGCGAAGGCGGGUCUCUGGGCCGAUAUUGACGCUGAGGAGCGAGAGCGUGGGGAGCGAACAGG